AACACACUAGGGACAAUUUACAAUCUUUACUGAUGCCAAUUAACCUACUAACCUGUACAUCUUUGGUGUGGGAGGGGGCUGGAGUACCCGGGAAAACCCAAACGGCAACGAUGAGAAUGUACAAACUCCGUACAGACAGCACUCGUAGUCAGGAUCGAACCCAGGUCACUGGCGCUAUAAGGCAGAAACUCAGAUUGAUUGAUUGAAAAAUACAGCAAUGAAAUAGGCCCUUCAACCCACCAAGUCCAUGCUGACCCAUUCGAUGAAUUCCAUGGUAUCCCACUUUCUCAUCCACUCCCUAUGAUCUAGGGGUCAUUUACAGAAGGCCAAUUAACCUUCAAACCCUCACGUCUUUCAGAUGUGGGAGGAAACUAGAGCACCUGGAGGAGACCCAUGCGGUCACAGGGAGAACAUGCAAACUCUGCACAGACAGCAUUCAAGGUCAAGAUCGAACCCGGGUCUCCAGCGAUGUGAGCAGCUGCUCUACCAGCUGUGCCACUGUGCAUGAGGACAAAAGACCCCUCUAUAUCAAAAUGUCUUCAGUUCUGUCAAUUUUAGAUACAAGGAACUGCAGAUGCUGGUUUAUUUUUUUUUAAAGAUUCAAUUAUUCUAUUGAAUCAUUAUUUUGCAACAGUUUUUAGGAUUUGAGGAUUUGAUAGGAUUUUACUGUAACACCAUUUAGAAGACAUUUGGACAGGUAUGUGGAUAGGAAAGGUUUAGAGGGACAAGGGCCAAAUGCUGGAAGGUGGGACUAGUGUAAAUUGAGCAUGUUGGUCGACAUGGGCAAGUUGGGCCGAAGGGCCUGUAUCCGUGCUGUGUCACUCUAUGACUAUUAGAUUUGAUUAACAUGGUAGCUCAGGGAGACAUGAGGUUCCAUUAAACUUUAACCGUUGCCCUCAAUCUGGGAUGUGAUGAAUGCAAAGAUUAUUUCACCACAUUUAUACCAUGGGAAGUGAGAUGAGCUGAACUUUAAUUUCAGUUUGAAUGCUGCAGACAGAUUUUAAGCUUUUGUAAUGCAUUGCCCCAGCAUUUCCCUUUAAUUACAGCAUGAGGGAGUCAGUGUCACAGCUGAGGAACAAGAGAGAUAGCGGCAGAUUAAAUUUCAGACAGAUCAUACAGACAGAUGCUCAUAAAUAUCAGUUCCAAGCAAUGAAACAUAACUUCCCUUCACACUGAACUUGGAGCAAGAAAGGCAUCACACUUGUUGUGAAAAUCUUAUUACCAUUUGGGAAAGUAUUUCCAUUUUUGCAUUUAAUAGUUUAUCAGUGUUGGCAGUAUCAGUGGAAAUUAAGGAGCCGUUUUGGCCCGGAAUCCAGAGCCACUGCCUCUUAGUACCAGAGACCCCGGUUCGAUCCUGACCUCGGGUGCUGCCUGUGUGGAGUUUGCACGUUCUCCCUGUGACUGCAUGUUUGGGUUUCCUCUGGGUGCUCAGUUUCCUCCCACAUCCCAAAGAUUUGCGGGUUUGUAGGUUAAUUGGCCCUCUGUAAGUUGCCCCAAGUGUGUCGGGAGUGGAUGGGAAAGUGGGAUAACAUAGAACUAGUGUGAACUGGUGAUCACUGUUGGGUGUGGACCCGGUGGGCAGAAGGGCCUGUUUCCAUGCUGUAUCUUUCAAACGAUCAAAAGGGAGGCUACUGCAGUAUAUAUCAUUUAACAUGGACUUGCGUUCAGCUUUGGUCACCAUUUUACAGGAAAAAUGUUGUCAAGCUGGAAAGGCUGCAGAGAAGAUUUACGAGAAUGUUGCUAGGACUCGAAGGGCCUGAGAUACAGGAAGAGGUUGAGCAGGCGAGGACUUAAGUCCUUGGAGCACAGGAGGAUGAGGAGUGAUCUUACAGAGGACUCAAAGCCACUUCCUUCGUUAUAAAUGUGCACAGAAUAAUUCUCCGAGAUGUUAUCAAAUUGAAAUUGUUGCAGAUGCUUUCUCCACCUCAAUUCAUCAAUCUGAAGAAGGGUCCUGAUCUGAAAUAUCAUCUCUCCAUGGAGGAUCCAAGGGGCCUUGGCCUGGAUUUGACAACUUGAAUGCCCAGGACCGAAGAAGGCUGCAAAAAGUGGGGAACACUGCCCAGUCUAUCACAGGUACUCACCUCCACACCAUCGAAGGGAUCUACAAGAGUCGCUGCCUCAAUAAGGCAGCUAGCACCACCGGAGACCUGGCCAUUUUUAUUUCACUACUGCCAUCGGGAAGAAGGUACAGCAGCCUUAAAACUGUAACGUCCAGGUUCAGGAACAGCUUCUUUCCUACAACCAUUGAACACUACAACCUCCAAAUAGGCUGCAAACUGCAUACACAUGGAGACUUUGAUUUUGUCUUUACACCACUAUUUUCUAUUUAUUUAUCUUUUUUUUAAAUACUGAACUUUUGUUGUUGUUAAUUAUGGUCUUUAUGCAGCACUCUGUUUAAAUAUCUGUUGUGCUGCUGCAUGAAAUAAUCUCAUGGUUCUGUUUGGGACAUAUGACAAUAAAACACUCUUGACUCUUGUCUCUUGGCCUAAAACGUUGUCUAUUCAUGUCCUCCAGAGAUGCUGCCUGACCCACUGAGUUACUCCACCCAUGUCAGCGUGGGUUUCCUCCGGAAGCUCCGCUUUCCUCCCACAUCCCAAUGACUUGCGGGCUUGCAGGUUACUUGGGUA